GUGAGCCGAGCUCGCGCCACUGCACUCCAGCCUGGUUGACAGAGCAAGACUCCAUCUCAAAAAAUAAUAAUAAUAAAAUAAAAAAAAUAAAUCGUACGUCGGGUGUCAACCAUUAUCUGAUUUAGACAAUAUUUAGAUGAGACUUUAGACUUUAAAGUAAGUGCUAGAACAAGUUAAGACUUUGGGGGCUUUUGUGAUAAAUGAAUGCAUUUUUUUGUCCUUUGUGAGAAGGACAUGAAUUUUGGGGAGCCAAAAUUGGGGGUGGAAUGCUAUCGGUUCAAUAUAUGUGGCCUUCCAAAAUUCAUGUGUUGGAACCUAAUGCCCAACGUGACAGUGUUAAGAAGUGAGGCCUUUUCCGAAGUGAUGAAGGCAUUAGGGCUUGUUCUUAUGAAUGGAUUGCUGCUCUUAUAAAAGAGGUUGAAGGGAGUGCCUGGGGUGCAUUUUGUCCUCCUGGCUUCUGCUGUGUAAGGACCCAGCAAUAAGGCAGAGAGUUCUUGGAAGCAACACACGAGCCUCACCAGACACUGGAUCUGCCAGUUCCUUCAUCUUGGACUUCUCAGCCUCCAGAAAUGUGAGAAAUAAGUUUCUGGGUUUAUAUAAAUUCCGCAGUCUAAGGUGCUUUGUUGGAACGAUACAGAUGAACAGAAACACUGAGCACAGGUGAGGGGCUCUGGCAGUGAAUGUGUGCUUGUCCAGAUGGUGGCUUUGUUCUCAACAGCCUCAGGCAUCUAGAACAUGCCAAACCUGUCCCUCCUCCAGGACAACUGAUCCAGAGCCAGUCCUCCAGGCAGCCCCGGAAAGUCCAGAACAUCGGACACUUGCUGCAGCUCUGUCCCACGCCAGGGAGAACUCAGGAUUUGGGGAUUCCCCCUCUUGUUCUGUGCUGGGCUGCAGAAAGUAUGACUGUAAUUCCAGUGGCUACAGGGGUGGCCUAUGACCCAGAUGUGCUGACCGUGUGUCCCAUCCCCACGUCUGCAGGAGCUGCUCAUCUCUAGGUGAGAGUUGACGUGUGUGUACUCACAGUGGAAGUUUCUCUUUUCCUUUUAAACUGUGAACUCUAAAAGUAGUCACUCGUACUUUUUAUUUCAUUGAUUUUGUAGUUUUUUUAUUUCAUUGAUUUUGUAGAAUCCCUUCAGUUUACCUUUUCAAGCUAUGUAAUGGUGUAGAGAUGGGUUCACAUGUCACAGAUUCACAGAACAAACCUUGGUAAUAUAAACUGAUAGGGCCUGCAAGUCCCUUCAGUAUGCUGCUUGAUUCAAGACUGCCCAGUUCGUUCUUCCAGGUACAUAUGAAUAGCACAGGAAUAAAAUAUUGUUUAAUGCAGAACACAGAGAGAAACUGAGAAAUAAUUUAGUAGAAUAUGUACACUAAACCACCAUGACACUCAAUUUAUCUAUAGAACAACCUGCACAUGUACACCAAUCUCACUUCCUGAAACAAGUGAAUUAUGAGUCAUUAUUCUACAGCUGGAUGAAAAGUAAAGAUCUGUCUCCUCCCUACUUAGAGCUAAGGGCAUAGAUCAAGUCAAUGCAAGUAUUCAGUUAAAAAGAAAAUGACUGCAGAUCUGUUUCUAUUUAAUACUUGGAGAAUUGUAGGUUCUAAGUACUCUGAAACAGCCACUAAUUUCCUUCCCUUGGCUUAUCUAUUCCCUUGGAUAUAGAUAAGACGUUUCAUAUAUUUGAAUUUAAUACGUCUGUGUGUGUGUAUGUGUGUGUGUGUGUGUGUCUGUCUUGUGGAGCUUUAAUAUUAUUCUGGCAUUUUAGAAUUGAUAAAUUUCUAGAAUUUACUCUCCAGAUCUUAUUUAGCACACGUGGUUGGUACUCUGUCUUAUAGAAGAAGAAUAUUAUUAUUUCUUGUUCACUGAAGAAUGAUAGCUAAAUUGCAAACAUUUCUGACAAGAGGUGAUGUUUCACUUUUACUUCCAUUCAGCUAUGAACUAGUUGUCAUUUCCGAGAACCUGAACCCACUGUAAAGUCUGUCUUCUGAACUUUCAAAGACCCCUUAGAAAUUUGAGGUUUAUGAUCUGGUGUGUGUUAUAUUUGGUUUAGUUUUACUGUGAAUAUCUUCAGUUCUUUUUCCUCUACGUGCUUUCCCCAGGAAGUCACAUUACCUCUUUUGACUUUAGUUUUCUAUUGGGAAGAUUCCAGAUUACUUUGAAGCAGUUUGUCUAAUUCCUCACUGCUUUUGCCCGCUAUUCAUCUGCCUCCUCCAUGACUGACUUCUCAAGCCCUGUUAGAUCUCAAUAGUCCCCUCCCCUAGAAGGAUUUUGGUUUCCUCCACAUGCCAUACAAUAACUUUCAGAAUUAUCCAGGUGUUAAUAUUUUCUUUUAUCCCUGAAAGUACAGUUUGCUCAAAUUGACAGAGCAGCAACCACACAACCACAGUUCCUGACAAAGAGUCACAGCAGGAAGUAUAGGGACUGCAACAGAUCACUCAAUGAAAUUUGAAGGAAUUUUUGGAUCUUUUUGCCCACAAAUAUUUUAAAAGAAGUUAUGGGAAUUAAGGAACAAUGAAGAGAUAAAUGAUUGAGCUGGAAAAAAGAAUAAAAUAUACCACUAGAAGUUCAUGUUUAUCCCCUCUUCUGAAAUGUUUCCAAAUCUUAAAUGGGCAACAGUUUUGCUCUCAUAUCUGCUGACCCUAUGAAAAUUAUGGCAUAAUUGAAUAUGCCUGAUAAUGCAUAGAUCCUAGGAUACUGUCAAUAAUGGUUCCUUCUUCACUUUCAACCCCACUUCCUCUUCAAAGGUCUCAGAUUAAUUAGACUCAGAAAAUGGAUUCAACCUUAUCCUGUGGAAGUAAAAGGAGCCUCAGUGCCCAAUUACGUAAUCAAAUAUAGGAUGCUAUUAAUACACUUGGAGUUCUCCAAAAUAAAGAUAAAAUCUCAUCUACAUAACCCGCAUGGAAGUGGUGUCGGCUGUUAUCUUUCACCUACUGAUAAUACAAGAGAGAAGAGUGACAUUGUAUCUAAUACCAAAUGUACUUAAAUAAUGAGGCCAGAUCAUCUAAAUCCAGCUUCUCCUCAAUCAAUCCACCAAACAAAGACGGAUGAAUAAGAGAGCUAUUUUUACCAGACUCCAGUCCAGGGUGCCUGAGACCACUUGGCAGAGACAGCAUUCAUUGUAUGCCAUGUGCAUCAUAGGGGAGCCCAUGAUCCUUUGUCGUCUGCAGGGAAUCACACCCUUCCAGCUAUGGUACAUUACUACAAAUCCAGUUGAGAUACUUUCAGGAGGGAUCAAGAGCGUGGUGCAUUGUGCGAGGACACCAUGGCCUGAACAAGAGGAUUUUUGAUGUUUGAGAAGAGAAGAGGUGGUGUUUGGCUAAAGAAAUUGUUCAGGAAAGAAAUGAUCAGCAUUUAUAUAGCCAUAAUGAUGUCAACACUGAUAAUAAAUAUUUUAAAAAUCACAAUUAACAUGUAUUGGGAAGAUGGGGGGAGGAGGAAGUGAAUGUAGAUGUGUGUAAAAGGAAACACCUCAUUUAUUGUGAAUUAUUAAAUAUUUUGUGAACAAAGUAAAACCUUCCUCAAGAGUAUAAGAUGAGGGUCAAACAGGUUUAGGGGAAAAUGCCUUUUUUAUUUCAAAACAAUCAGGAAAUCAGCAUUUUGUCUCGCUCUCAGCUUGCAUAAAUUUUUAUUUGGUUUGUGAAAGAGAAAUAAUAUACUGAAGGAAGGCAAGCAAUAAUGUGUAAAACAGAUAAUUCCAGAAGUAACAGAAUGAGCAUAUUACUUAGAAACGUAGCAUAAGAAAAGCAGCCAAAAGAUCUGAGAGUGGUUGUUUCUAAGGAGCAGCAAUGCAAGGCAGAGAGGCGCAGAGUGGAGUGAGGUUCUGAAAUGCCAUUCUGGCUGCGUUGUUCUAGGAGGUCCUAGGAAUGAGUUUCAGUACAAUCGUGGACGAAAAGCCUCUCAGCUCAUACACAUACAGAAUGCUUCACAGCCCUCGGUCAAGACCACAGGCACCACAAAGUUAGGCUUUUUGAUGCUUGCAACAGCAAUGGAGCAUGCGUGCACGUGCGCGCACACACACACACACACAUACUCGGCAAAGGGUGGGGUAGCACCUGGCCUGGUUGUGAGGAUUUCACUUGCGUUAGGAGAGAGUGGGGUGCUGCAGCGGUGAGGAGUUUGUUCUGGAUCGGGUGCUGUGUGAGAGGAGGUAGGGAAAUAGAGUGAGGCUAAAGCUGCAGCUUGAACAGAAGCAGCUGUCACUCAGGUUACCUGGGAGAGGGGGUGCUUGGUGAUGGCUGUAUCACAAGGACUUUGAAUUUGUCUGUGCCCACAAAGGAUUACACUGUGGUCUUGUAUUUCCCCAUGCCAGAUUGCAAUCAGCAAUUUCCCCAAGGAGCCCUGGCUUGUUUAGUAGGAGAUGGCAUCUACCAACUAAGUUAUGGGAAGUAGGUAGGUUUGAGUAUUGCUACUGGGCUAUGCUACUUCUAGACCCUUUUAGUGGGCAGAGCCAGAACUAGACAUACAUUUUUAAAAUUCAUAUGUUUCCACAGAUAACUUCAGUUUCAGUCUAGUAACUCAGAGUUCUUCUCCCUUCCCCAUUCCAUAUUUGUAUGUCUCUUACCCAUAGUGAGAACCCUGGUUCCCUAUAACACCAGAGUCAAAUGUAUCUACUCAUUUCCUCUGUCAUAUGCAACUUGAACAAAAUGCUUUCAGAAUUACUACAUGAGUACUACUACCAGGGACAAGCAGAUACAACUUUCGUUCUGUGAUGGUUAAUACUGAGUGUCAACUUGAUUGGAUUGAAGGAUGCAAAGUAGUAAUCCUGGGUGUGUCUGUGAGUGUGUUUCCAAAGGAGAUCAACAUUUGAGUCAGUGGCUGGGAAGGCAGACCCACCCUGAAUCUGGUGGGCACAAUCUAUUCAGCUUCCAGUGACUAUAAAGCAGGCAGAAAAACGUGAAAAGGCGAGACUGGUCUAGCCUCCCAUCCUACAUCUUUCUCCCUUGCUGUAUUAUGUGGAUGUACCGUAGUUUAUCCAACCAGUUUUCAACCCAGGGAUGGGUGUUAAAUCAUUCGUAAUAUUUUGAGAUUAUAAAUAAUGCCACAAUGUUUUUUUAAAAACCCGUUUCUGUGUUGUUUUGUAUUUGUGGAGGUGUGUAUUCAGAGCAAACUCCUGGAAGUGGAGUUGCUGGGUCAAAGCGUAAAUGCACAAGUAGUUUGUUAGCUCUUUCCAAAUGUUUUGAUUGGGGCGUUGCCGUGUACUUCUGCCCGGGGAGUCUAUGAGAGGCCUUUCUCCCAGUAGCAACUCUAGGAGAUGAUUUCAGCUUACCUGAGUUCACCUGCAGCUGCAAUAGACAGUUCCCCCGUCAAGCACCCGAACUGCUCUUCUUAUCCUGAGGGGCAGGCGGAAGCGAACUAAGCCUACGUGGAAGGCCUGUUUCCAUGCAAAGCACAGAGUUUGGAAGAGAACAGUUUGAGGAACCAAGUGAAAUUCUCUGUUCUGAAUGUGACUGGAGUGUAUAGUCUCUGCAGCUCAUAAAAAUCCAUUGUGGACAACUUGUGAAGGGCAUCCUAUGCCAUUUACAAGACGCAAACUCAAAUGGGAGAUUCUGCUGCUAUGUGGGACGUGUGUUCUGAAUCACUGGUCUGAAUGGAAUGCUUUGAAUUAUAUGCGUUGUUAUCUCUCUGAAACUGACUUCAGCAAUUACUGUAUCUGCCUAAAAAUCAAGCACAUCAACAUACUUUUAAUUCUUACUUGCAUUCAGGACCCAUUCUGUUCAAUGAACAUUUACUGAAGUAUCUGCAUUUUCAUGGAUUGUGCCACCAUAGUAGGUUAUAUAAGAUUUGACUGCUGCACUUAUUAAUCCAGACAAUACAUAAUUAUUCAUUUUUUUAUUUAAAAGUUCUUGUCUGAUUGUAAAAAUAAUAUAUUUUCAUAUUAAAUUUGUAAAAUAAACAUAAAUUCAUGAAUAAAUAAUAUAAAGAUUUCUUUUAAUGUGCCAACCCAGAUACAGCCACCAUUUAUAUCUUGGUAUCAUUUUUAUUUAUUUUAUCCCUCAUUAAAGUAGUUCUCUAGUGGUAGGAAAAUGUCAGAUUCUUUUAUUUUAAAUUUCCCCUUUAUCAAAUAAAACAUGCUUAUUAUAGAGAAAAAGGAAAUCUAUCACUCCUGCUCAUCCACCUGAAGAUAAUUUAGUGUAUUUCUUCCUAGUCUUUUAUUUCCAUGCAUAUAUUUAAACUUUGUAUUUUUAACAGUUUGUUAAUAUUAUUUUUGUAAUUACAGAAUAUUUCAUCAAGUGUAUACAUGAUAAGCACGGAAUGAAUUAGUAAAUAGCAGUCUUGCAAUAUAAACUUUAAAUCCAGACAAAGUGUUAGAAACAAAUCUUGUAACACAUUUAUGUCAUUGGUUGUGCAUAGUAAAUAUUGUCAACAAAAUAUCCCUAGCGUAAGGGAUGGUGUUAUUAAUAUAAGAUAUUUCUUUCAACCUGAAAUAAUUGAAAGAAUCAGAAUCUAGUUUUAAAGAGUUGAUUUAAAAGAAAGCUGGGAAUGACCAUCUGGGAAUCAAAAAUUCUGGAGAAAUGGAGUCGGUACUCCAGAGAUAAAACUGUCUUACUUAUAUGGGAAGAAAAAGAAACUUAACAGGAUUACAACAUUUUCUAGUCAAGGUUGGUUUUCGAGUUACGACAAUUUAAUCAAUUAUAGUUCAUUUUCUUUUCUGUGCAGCUUUUCAUUUUCUUUCUAAUUUAAAAGCGUAUAUUUAACAUUCCAUCUUAAACAGUGUGAUAGCCAUGUAGUUUCUGUGUGAGAGAGGUAAGAAGGAAGUUAAUCUAUAAUGAAGAUCAACAGGAAGAGGUGAGGGUCUUCCCUGAUACCCUUUAGCCCUUUACAGCAUUUUACAAAACAAUGUAGGUAAGAAAGAAGGCUAAUCUAUCCUUUAUCAUCAGAGGAACAAAAGUUAGGGCUGCCUAGGGCACAGCUGCUUGCCACAAGACUCAGGCCUCGUGAUCACAUUUCUUUAAGGCUCAAAAUAGUUUAAAGUUCCAACAGCUUAGAUUUUUAAUUAUUUUUACGUGUUCAAUUGGGAGUAGAAAAACUGCAUGAGAAAAACAAUAGAAUGUCAGCACAGUAGGAGAAGAAAGAAUUCUUGGAAUAGAAGUACGUGAGGGAAUUCACACAUACAAACCCUUUCUGUAAUGGGGUGAAUAAUUAGUUUUACAUUUGCAUUUCCCUGAAAAUUUUCACACACAAGAAUAAACCCAUGACUGUGCUGUGCUUUACCUCAAGGAGCAAAAUUGGCAUGAAUAUUUGGUUAUAUACUUUUUAAAUUUGGAUCAAGAAGCAGGAAUUGUUCAGCAUUUAAAGCACAUAACUUUGCCAAACACGUAGUAAAUCUUUAGGGUGACUGAGCAAGAUUAAGUUCAACAUGAAAUUUUGGGUAAUAAGGAAGAAAAUCAAAGCUCCACUGCUGCUUUAUAAGGUUAUGUGUCACCUUCUUUUACUUCUUGUAGUCAAGUACCUAACCUUCUGGAUGCAGCCCAGACAAUUCCUCAACUUUCCUAAAAGUUGUAGAGAAGAAAGAACUGCAAUGUUUAGUAACUCCUAUGGUGCUCUGUAUCUGUAUUACAAUCUGUUUGAGGUGGGAGAAAGCAGGCAGUGCUGAAACUGUAAUGCUCAAAAGCUCAAAUUAAAUACCCUUCCUGGUCAUGUUUAAAAGGUGAAUGAGUCCCCAGUUCCAAUUCUUGGCAGGAGCUGCCUGGCACUGGAUCUGGUCUGAGCACCAAAGAAUCAUAAAAUUUAUGAUAUGUUAUUGCCUUCUCUUUUUUUAAUUGAAAAUUUUAUUGAGAUAAUUGUAGAUUCACAUGCAACUAUAAGAAAUAACACAGAGAGAUUCCACUUGCCCUUUAUGCAGUUUCUCCCGGUGGUAACAUCUUAUAAAAUGUAGUACAAUAUUGCAACCAGGAUAUUGACAUUGAUACAGCCCAUCUACUUUAUUCAGGUUUUCCCAGUUUCACUUGUACUCAUUUGUCUGUGUUUGGGCACUCAGCUGUAUUGUAUUAGGUUGUGUAAGAUGUGUAAGUAUUAUGAAUUGAUAAUAAUUGCAUUAAUUAUAUUCUGUAUAAUUUUAUAAGUUGUGUAGGUUUUUGUAUGCAUUACAGUUUUUUCCUAAAAGUUUUAUUUUUUAAAUUUUAUACCGAAGUCUGUGAUACAUUUUGAUUCAAUUUUUGUCUAAUGUGUGAGGAUUAGGUCAAGGUUUAGUUUUUUCCCCUAUAGAUGUCCAUUUGUUCCACUGAAUUGCUUCAUCUUCAAAAACUCCUUUAAAAAAUCUGUUGGGCA